UGGGGAAUUUUGGACAAUGGGCGCAAGCCUGAUCCAGCAAUGCCGCGUGCAGGAUGAAGGCCUUCGGGUUGUAAACUGCUUUUGUACGGAGCGAAAAGGUCUGCCCUAAUACGGUGGGCUCAUGACGGUACCGUAAGAAUAAGCACCGGCUAACUACGUGCCAGCAGCCGCGGUAAUACGUAGGGUGCGAGCGUUAAUCGGAAUUACUGGGCGUAAAGCGUGCGCAGGCGGUUAUAUAAGACAGGUGUGAAAUCCCCGGGCUCAACCUGGGACCUGCAUUUGUGACUGUAUAGCUAGAGUACGGUAGAGGGGGAUGGAAUUCCACGUGUAGCAGUGAAAUGCGUGGGUAUGCGGAGGAACACCGAUGGCGAAGGCAAUCCCCUGGACCUGUACUGACGCUCAUGCACGAAAGCGUGGGGGGCAAACA
rnacentral:rRNA from 1 species